UGCCGCGGCCAUGGCGAGAUACGCCACCCGCCAGCCGCCGAACUCGGCGAAGUAGAGCGCACCGGCGCCGCCGAGGAUCAGGCCCAGGCGGUAGCCGAACGAAUAGGUCGCCGCGAGUG
rnacentral:rRNA from 1 species